rnacentral:tRNA from 1 species
GCACCCGUAGCUCAGUUGGAUAGAGUACUUGACUACGAAUCAAGGGGUCGGGAGUUCGAAUCUUCCCGGGUGCA